ensembl:snoRNA
AAGCAUACAUUCUCUGACACAGUUUGAGCUUGCUAUAGCAAAAAAGUCUAACCUAUUCCAGUGCUCUCUUCCCCAUGAGGCAAGCUGUUAUACAGUCUCAAAGAAU